GCAAGGAACAUGUACAGACGUACCCUGUGACAGAACGACUCGAUUGAGGACCAGAACGUGUAAAACUAAUUGCACGUGUGAUCCUUCUGGAGAAAGUGAAUACGAACCUUGUGCCACCACUUGCCCAUCCUCAGAGCAAUGUAAAGACACGGAAAUAAAGAGCAGCAACUGCUCUGAAGCAUGUGAUACCUGUAAAGGUUAUUUCCUGCAGAGUACUUGCGUAAAUCCACAAUGUUCCGACGGUGAAGAUGAAAAAUGCAUCUGUGCUGACAACUACCUGCGAGAUGAGUCUGGAGAAUGUGUUCCCAAAGAAGACUGUGUUUGUUACGACAUAAAUGGCUUGAUCAUUAACGAAGAGGAGCUAGGCCUUGAUAAUGAUACUUGCAUACAAUGUAAAUGUGUAAAUCACAUAUACAAGUGUGAACCACAACCAGACUGU